UACGUAGGCAGCGAGCGUUGUUCGGAGUUACUGGGCGUAAAGGGUGUGUAGGCGGUUGUUUAAGUUUGGUGUGAAAUCUCCCGGCUCAACUGGGAGGGUGCGCCGAAUACUGAAUGACUAGAGUGCGGGAGAGGUGAGUGGAAUUCCUGGUGUAGCGGUGAAAUGCGUAGAUAUCAGGAGGAACACCGGUGGUGUAGACGGCUCACUGGACCGUAACUGACGCUGAGACACGAAAGCAUGGGUAGCAAACAGG
rnacentral:rRNA from 1 species